rnacentral:tRNA from 1 species
GUGGCGCAGCUUGGUUAGCGCGCUUGUCUGGGGGACAAGAGGUCGGGAGUUCAAAUCUCCCC